CUGCACUGUCCCUCACCUGGACUUCAUGCCAGGUUUGACCUCCACCACUUUAUCAGAGACGUGGACCACACGGACGGUGACAUCACCAGAUUCUGGAUGACUCUGACGCUUCAGAUACUCAUUCACUCGUGUCUCCAGAACGCAUAUCUGAUGCAUUUUUCGACCACAGUCGGCACAUUCCAGCAGUCUGAGGAAGAAGGGUGGAAACAAAGGUCAGAUGACGACAACAAAUCCAAGCCGUGACUACAAGCAAACUGAAAUGAGACAAUCAGAGUGAGCAAAUAUGUGAAAAAGUACACAUACAGUUCGGGGUCGAGGGUGUCGUUCUUCUUCCGUUGAAACUGAUCUUUAUUGAUGGACCUGAGGAGAGAAAUUGAGAGAGAGAGAGAGAGAGAGAGAGAGAGAAGAGGAGGCCGCCCAAUCGAGUGAGUCAUGAGAAUCAAUGAACGAACACUCAACGGUAUCAGAUACUGAGGAA